rnacentral:rRNA from 1 species
GAUGAACGCUGGCGGCGUGCUUAACACAUGCAAGUCGAACGAAGCACUUUAUUUGAUUUCCUUCGGGACUGAUUAUUUUGUGACUGAGUGGCGGACGGGUGAGUAACGCGUGGGUAACCUGCCUUGUACAGGGGGAUAACCGAUGGAAACGGCAGCUAAUACCGCAUAAGCGCACAGCAUCGCAUGAUGCAGUGCGUAAAACUCCGGUGGUAUAAGAUGGACCCGCGUUGGAUUAGCUAGUUGGUGAGGUAACGGCCCACCAAGGCAACGAUCCAUAGCCGACCUGAGGAGGUGACCGGCCACAUUGGGACUGAGACACGGCCCAAACUCCUACGGGAGGCAGCAGUGGGGAAUAUUGCACGAUGGGCGAAAGCCUGAUGCAGCGACACCGCGUGAGCGAAGAAGUAUUUCGGUAUGUAAAGCUCUAUCAGCAGGGAAGAUAAUGACGGUACCUGACUAAGAAGCACCGGCUAAAUACGUG